GACUCGGUAGCGGACGGUCCGCAUCCCCGAUUAAUUUGGCUUUAAUUUCGAAAGAAGUUCAGAGGAAGGUUGCCUGUUCAACUCAGGCCCGAGUCA